CAAUAGCGUAUAUUAAAGUUGUUGCAGUUAAAAAGCUCGUAGUUGGAUUUCUGUUCUCGAGGAUCGGUCCGCCUCACGGUGAGCACUGGUUUUUCUUGGGGACAUCCUCUCGAAGGCGGGUGGUGCACUUAAUUGUGUGCUGCUUGGAUUCGGGACCUUUACUUUGAAAAAUUAGAGUGUUCAAAGCAGGCGUCGGCUUGAAUACAUUAGCAUGGAAUAAUGGAAUAGGACCCUGGUUCUAUUUUGUUGGUUUUGAGGACCAGAGUAAUGAUUAAUAGGGAUAGUUGGGGGCAUUCAUAUUUCAUUGUCAGAGGUGAAAUUCUUGGAUUUAUGAAAGAUGAACUUCUGCGAAAGCAUUUGCCAAGGAUGUUUUCAUUAAUCAAGAACGAAAGUUAGGGGAUCGAAGACGAUUAGAUACCGU
rnacentral:rRNA from 1 species